rnacentral:lncRNA from 1 species
UCUUGAAAAGUUCUGACAGCGUUCCUCUCCUCUUUCAGGUGCCUUCUUAUAGAUCUCUGCCAGCUACAAAGCCUCCAAGGGAGAGCACAGUGCUAUAAAGGCCUGGCUGUAGGAGAGUGCUGCAGGAAGCUGGAGAGGGCAGAUUCUCAUCUAUACAUUCAAUUACAAAGUCUAACUUAUUUCAUGGAUUAGAAGUGGGAGACCAACUUCUUUGCCUUCAAAUCCUGAGGAGUUUCAGAAGUUAGAGUCAACUUUUCACUGUACCAAACUAAGUGAACAGACAUAAAUGAAAAACUUCAAUAGCGCAACAAGCUCUGCUCAAAGAAGCUCACCCAGCAAAGAAUUCAGUGCUUUGGCUUUUGUUAAAAGAGAGCAUGAUGAAACACAAGAGGACUGUGGACAGUGCUAGCUAAGAAUAAAGAAAUAAAAAACAGUGCCAUCUUGUGGCCUACAGUAUUCUGAAUGUUGCCAAGAGGAAAGAGGAAAACCUUUUACACAAAGAAAAAAAAAAUACAGGUAUUUCUUUGAGGAACACCAACUACCAUGAACACAUCUCUACAGCUGGAAGAAGAGAUGUUAAGUUUCAACUUGGAGAAAACCUGUUAAAAACUGCUGAUGAACACAGCAUUGUGUGUGAGAGUAUGUGUGUGCCGGCAUGUGAAAACCAGCACAGAAUUUCCUUUUCAUCCUUGUGUACGACUCAACUAGCCUGAGUCUUUAUUAAGCAAAUCACGAGUCCUACGCUAAAUCACAAAUGUCUCAUGUCUUGAAUUAGCUGAUUACAGUCUGACCUAAGUAACAUCUGUUUCAGUAAUGCUGACUUUUGUUUAAGAAAAGUAAAUCACCCUUUAUGUGUGUUGCCU